rnacentral:rRNA from 1 species
AACGAACGCUGGCGGCAUACCUAACACAUGCAAGUCGAACGAGACCUUCGGGUCUAGUGGCGCACGGGUGCGUAACGCGUGGGAACCUGCCCUUAGGUUCGGAAUAACACAGAGAAAUUUGUGCUAAUACCGGAUAAUGUCUUCGGACCAAAGAUUUAUCGCCUUUGGAUGGGCCCGCGUUGGAUUAGCUAGUUGGUGGGGUAAAAGCCUACCAAGGCGACGAUCCAUAGCUGGUCUGAGAGGAUGAUCAGCCACACUGGGACUGAGACACGGCCCCAGACUCCUACGGGAGGCAGCAGUGGGGAAUAUUGGACAAUGGGCGAAAGCCUGAUCCAGCAAUGCCGCGUGAGUGAUGAAGGCCUUAGGGUUGUAAAAGCUCUUUUAACCAGGGAUGAUAAAUGACAGUACCUGGAGAAUAAGCUCCGGCUAACUCCGUGCCAGCAGCCGCGGUAAUACGGAGGGAGCUAGCGUUGUUCGGAAUUACUGGGCGUAAAAGCGCACGUAGGCGGCGAAGCCAAAGGUCAGGGGUUGGAAAAUUCCCCGGGGGCUCAACCCCCGGGAACUGCCUUUGGAAACUGCUUUGCUAGAAUCCUGGAGAGGGCGAGUGGAAUUUCCGAGUGUAGAGGUGAAAAUUCGUAGAUAUUCGGAAGAACACCAGUGGGCGAAGGCGACUCGCUGGACAGGUAUUUGACGCUGAGG